AGUCCUACUCAAUAAAAAGGGGAGCGAAGUAAAGAGCUACUUACCAGUUGUACAUACCUAAAUACAGUUCACUAAAUUUCCGAAACUCAGGCUCUUCUUUCAUCGCCAUGAAAUUUUGCUGGAUUUAUUGCAUCCUGUUGUGUGCUAUAGCUCUGCAAGAUCUACCCGAAAGUGGGGCUGCUGUACACUCCAAUGUCAAUAGUUGCGACAUAUUCUGCAAUUUGGGCGGUUCCAGCUUAAGUUGUGCUCGAUGCUGUCAACAACAGGGGGUCGUUGUUUCUGGAAAUUAUCAGGCUUACGGUCACUGCGAUGGAUCCACUUGUUUUUGCAGGAUUGCUAACAAAAGAUAAUUUUGUAUGAAGUGGUUAACCAAAAGCUACAAAAUUAGAUUCAGCAAUACGUAAAAUUUUUUGGUGUAUUUUACUUAUCUGUCAGUUGGUAAACGGUUUUGUGCAAUGAAUUGCUAGUGAUUGAAAAUAAAUAAACACAGUUUUAUGCUUGGCAA